GCCGAGAGAGAGAGAGAAAGCAAAGCAGAGAUUGAGCCACACAUGGAUCAAAGUAAGUAAAUUGUUGCGAGUGUGUAGAGAUAGAAAAGCCUGAUCACCUGCCCCUAGCUGCACUUGCCUCAUCUGCUAGAGAUAGAAAGAUAAAAUCAAGAUCAAAUCCAUGGCAGUUUUUCUGAACUUCUGUGAUGAAGACACAGGAAAGAGCUUCGUAGCUCAUCUCAACAAUGCUCUCACUGAAUCCGGCAUAUCCACCUUCUUCUUCUCGCAACGGGGACAAGGAGAAGAAGAAAUGGAGAGAGCGAUUAGAGAGUGUGAGGUGCUUAUAGCCGUCUUUUCUACCAACUACGCUUCCUCUUCCUUGUGCCUGAACCAGCUUUCUUAUUUAAUGAGUUUGCCAGCAACGAGUAUGAAGUCGAUUUUACCUGUGUUUUAUGAUGUGGAGCCUUUUCAUGUCCGCCGGCAAGAGGGACCUUUCAAGGGAGCUUUGGAGUUUCAUAAAAAGAAGAAUGGGUCUGAUGAGGAGAUAAUCCUCAACUGGAGAAAUGCUUUCCAACAAGUAGCGGAUCUUUUCUGUUGGGAUAUGCAGAAUCACAGCUAUGCUUCCUUUUCCUUCCCCCUUGAUCAGCUUUCUUAUUUUCUGAAUUUGCCACCAAAGUGGGGGAGGAGGUCCAUUUUUCCUGUUUUUUUUUAUGUGGAGCCUUCGCGAUUCUGCCGGCAACAGCGGCCUUUCAGUGGAGCUUUUGAGUUUCAUAAAAAGAAAACUGAGAUUGGUGAGGAGACAGUGCAGAACUGGAGAAAUGCUUUGAAAGAGGUCGGUGGUCUUUGUGGUUGGGAUAUGAAGAAUUGCAGGAAUGAAGCCAAUUUGGUGCAGGAACUUGUUGAACAUGCUUCAGCCAAGUUAGAGAACACAACAUCAUGGCAUGUUGCCGAUCACCCCAUUGGUUUAGAUUCUCGGGUCGAUGAUGUGAUGACACUUUUAGAUGUUGAUGCUGCUGAUGUUCGGAUGAUUGGGAUCCAUGGCAUGGGUGGUAUUGGCAAGACCACUCUUGCUAAGGCAGUCUUUAAUAAAAUAUAUGCCAGUUUUGAUGCCAAAUGUUUCCUCUCAGAUAUUAGAGAAGUUUCAAGAACAUGUGGUGGACUUGUCACCUUACAAAAACAUCUUCUUAAGGAAUUGUUCAGUGACGAAGGUCGAAAUAUAUAUGAUGUUGAUAGAGGUAUCAAUGUUAUCAAAAAGAGGAUUGGCUCUAAGAAAGUUCUUGUUGUAUUUGAUGACAUUGAUGAUGAAAUUCAACUUGAAAAAUUGGCUGGCAACCAUCAUUGGUAUUGUCAAGGAAGUAGGAUCAUCAUCACUACUAGAGAUGAGCAUGUGUUGAAUGUGCAUAAAAGAGUGGAGAAUAAUCAUAUCUACAAGCUCGAGGGAUUGGCUGACACACAAUCUCUUGAACUCUUUAGUUGGUGUGCAUUCCAGAGAAAUCAACCCAUGCAAGAAUAUGUGCAACUCUCUAGGGAUGUGGUAUCCACUGCUGGAGGGCUUCCCCUGGCUCUUGAAGUUCUGGGAUAUUAUUUAUGUGACAAAACCAUUGAAGAGUGGAAAGAUGCAAUAACAAAGCUGAAAAGAAUACCUGAAGAUAAAGUGUUGCUAAAGCUGAAAAUAAGUUUUGAUGACUUGAGCGAAGAAACGAAACAAAUAUUUCUUGACAUUGCAUGCUUCUUCAUUGGACAAGACAAAGAUUAUACAAUUUAUAUAUGGAAAGGUUCUGGUUUCCCUGCUUUAAAUUCCAUAAGGAAAUUAUUGCAACGGGCACUCAUAAAGAUUACUAAUGAGAAUUGUUUGUGGAUGCAUGACCAACUUCGUGAUGUGGGGAGACGGAUUGUUGAACUAGAAAACUUGGGUGAUCCUGGGAGGUGCAGUAGGUUGUGGUCUAGAGAAGACGUCAUUGACGUGUUGAAGAAUCACAAGGGAACUCGUGAGGUUCGAGGCCUAAUGCUUAAGGGGAAUGAACGGGAGGAGAACUGGGAAACUGAAGCAUUUAAACCAAUGACCAAUCUGAAGCUACUCAACAUCAGUGAUGUGUCUCUUAAAGGAAGCUUCAAAUCCCUUUCAUCAGAAUUAGUGUGGCUAAAAUGGCUGCGAUGUCCUUUAAAGUACGUCCCAGAUGACUUUAGUUAUGAAAAGCUAGCUGUCCUUGACUUGUCAGACAGUGAAGCUGUCUGGAACUUGUUAAACAACAACAUCAAGCAGAUUUUCCCCAAGUUGAAGGUUCUUAUUCUUAGAGGUUGUCAUAACUUGGAGAGAAUUCCCAACUGUUCCCUAUAUCCAAACUUAGAGACGUUAAAUCUCGAACAAUGCUGCAACUUGGUCGAGAUUCCUAACUCCAUUGGCCUUCUAAGGAAUCUAGUUUAUUUGAAUCUUUGUGAAUGCUCCAGCCUCAAGGAAGUGCCUGAUUCCCUAGGCUCACUAGAGAACCUUAAGGAGUUGGAUGUGGGUCAGUGCGAGGAACUCAGUAGAUUCCCAACAUCAAUAGGAAGGAUGAGGUCACUGCGUUAUCUGUACAUGAAAAAUACUGCUCUUGCUACAUUGCCUGAUGAUUUUGGACGUCUUUCCAAGUUGGAAGAGUUAACCAUGAAUUGGUGCAAACAGUUGAAAGAGCUCCCAGAAAGCUUUGGAAAUCUAACAAGUUUAAGGGCACUCAAUAUAAGCAACAGUACAAGUUUGACAAGGCUUCCAUCUACUUUCUCAAGUCUUUGCUCCUUGGAGAAAUUGAAUGCAGAAGAUUGUAACCUACAGGGGAUGAUUCCUGAUGACUUUGAAAAGCUAUCCUCAUUGAGAAUCUUGAAUCUCACCAGGAACAAGGUCCAAGGCUUGCCCAGUAGCAUGAGGUGCCUUUCUCACCUAGAAGAGUUGUAUAUAAAUGGUUGCGAGCAGCUAGUAGCUAUCCCUGAGCUCCCCACCAGUUUGAAACAUUUGGAUGCUUCCGGAUGCAAAAGUUUGCAAAUGAUAACCAAGCUAUCUCACCUUUAUCACCUAGAAACACUAUGUAUAUAUGAUUGUGAGCAGCUAGUAGCUAUUCCUGAGCUCCCCCAUAGUUUGAAAGAAUUCAAAGCUAGGGGAUGCAGUAGUUUGCAAACCAUGCCCAAGCUAUUUCACCUUUCUAAACUUAAAGAAUUGGAUGUUAAUGACUGUAAAAAACUAUCUGCUAUUGAGGAUAUUCCCACCAAUUUGGAACUUUUAUUUGCUUCCAACUGCAUAUCAUUGCAGAUUAUACCCAAUCUCUUUCAUCUUUCUCAACUUAAACAUUUGGAUCUCACAAACUGUGAGAAAGUGAUUGAGAUACAGGGUCUCAACGGUUUAAAAUCUUUGAGAGAAUUGUUCUUGAGUGGGUGCAGUCCUCACACUUUGAGGGGUCAAAGUCUGGCGAAGGAAACAUUUACGAGUCUAGAUAAAUUAAGUAUUCCGGGAAGCAAGGUGCCAGAUUGGUUCAUGUUUCAGACUCCCUCGUUCACAGUGCCGAGACUUUCAGAUGUGGGCCUCCAUAUAAGAGAAGUACUACUGUGCUUUUCUUAUUCUACCUAUGACACUAGUCCUGGCUCACCCAGAUCUAUGGUAUCAAUCAAGAGGGAAGACAGGGGCAUUAGGAUAGAGGAACAAGUUGAUAUUCAAUAUUUUCCAUUGUCCCACCAAAAUCAAGUCUUUUUUCGCCGUUUGCGACAUGGCCAUAUGCCUAGACUUUGGUUCAAGUGGUUCAAAGAUGAGAAUCAAAUUGAACUCUUAACUAAGUUCAUGGUAUGCCUGAAGGGUGCGAUGCAUCUGGUGUACAAACCCGCAGAUACCGAUGAAUCCAUUCAAGAAAGACUGGCUAAUUUCUUCAACCCAUUGCUUAGUGAAUGACAGUUUACAGCCUCAUCAUCUCAUAAGAUUACAAGAUGGUGCAAGCAAUGUGAGAAGAGGUGACUAUUCAAAGGCUCAUGACCCUACAACCAAUGAACUUAUGGGCAGAUAUUGGCACGAAAUGUUUCCAAUAUGAUGGGGUCCUUCAUAUUAAGGAAGCUUUGAGGAAAGCUGAAGUUACAGGCAAUAAUGAUUGCCCCAUGAAAAUUAAGCUGGCCACUCCUCCCCUUCAUCGUCUUACUAUACAGACUUUGGACAAUGUAUGUAUGGGUGUUCUCGUGAUAUUAGAACAGGGAUGCUGAAGGGAGGAAGGAUCCAUCUGGUAUACAAACCGGAUUCCAUUGAAGAAAGGCUGGCUGCUUCAAGUCAGACUUUGCAGCCUCCCUGAUCUCAUAAGAAAAUGGUUCCACUACACUUUCAUAAACAAGGAAGCUACCACCUGCAUUGAACGCCUGUGCCUGAUACUCUAUUUGUCUAUAGAGUGAGAAUCAUUUGCUUCUUAUUGGGGGAGACUUCGUCGUUCGCUUCACAUUGGCUGUUUUCUUCUUUUGUACCAAAAUGGUCCCCAACUUAAAACUUGUAUCUAAUAGCCUAGAUCCAUUUUUCAGGCAUGUCCUUGCUGUUAGUUUACUACUUUUAAUUGAAGACUUUGUGCUUUGUAGCAUGUGCAUUUUUCUUCAUCAUUUUCUGCGACAUCUAUGAUAUGAUCUCCCAUUCAUGGUUAAUCCAAUAAUUCAAGAAUUGCCUGAUUGGGGCUUUUUGGUC